rnacentral:lncRNA from 1 species
UUUGAAUUAGAAAGAAGAGAUUGAGAUUAUAAGUUAAGGAAUUGUGGGUUUAGAAUUUGAGUUUGGAAUGGAAAGAAGAGAUUGAGGUUAAAGGGAAGAUGGGUUUGGGUUUUGUAAUAUAUGAAGUAGAAGAUAAGGAAGAUGGGGUUUCGGGUUUGGGGUUUGGGGUUUUGGAUUUUAGGGAUUUAAACAUAAUCCUUGUUAAUUCCUCGUAAACUAACGAGAAACUUACGACGAAUCCUAAAAAUAAAGAACGCGGGACUCGUUAAUUCCACGUAAGCAGAAUUCGUCGUAAAGACCUCGUAAUAGAAAAACGCGAGCCUUUUUAUUUCCUCGUAAAUAAAA